rnacentral:rRNA from 1 species
CUAAUACAUGCAAGUCGAGCGGAUGUGAUGGGAGCUUGCUCCCUGAAAUCAGCGGCGGACGGGUGAGUAACACGUGGGUAACCUGCCUGUAAGACUGGGAUAACUCCGGGAAACCGGGGCUAAUACCGGAUAGUUCUUUUCCUCGCAUGAGGAAAAGUGGAAAGGCGGCUUCGGCUGCCACUUACAGAUGGACCCGCGGCGCAUUAGCUAGUUGGUGAGGUAACGGCUCACCAAGGCAACGAUGCGUAGCCGACCUGAGAGGGUGAUCGGCCACACUGGGACUGAGACACGGCCCAGACUCCUACGGGAGGCAGCAGUAGGGAAUCUUCCGCAAUGGACGAAAGUCUGACGGAGCAACGCCGCGUGAGUGAUGAAGGUUUUCGGAUCGUAAAGCUCUGUUGUUAGGGAAGAACAAGUGCCGUUCGAAUAGGGCGGCACCUUGACGGUACCUAACCAGAAAGCCACGGCUAACUACGUGCCAGCAGCCGCGGUAAUACGUAGGUGGCAAGCGUUGUCCGGAAUUAUUGGGCGUAAAGCGCGCGCAGGCGGUCUCUUAAGUCUGAUGUGAAAGCCCACGGCUCAACCGUGGAGGGUCAUUGGAAACUGGGGGACUUGAGUACAGAAGAGGAAAGU